GGUUUAGACCGUCGUGAGACAGGUUUGUUGCUUUUUGGUGGAAGUGCAUUGGUGCCUGACGAGAAGAACCCUUUAGUACGAGAGGAACGGGGGUUCGCGGCCUCUAGUUAACCAGUUGUCCGGCAGGGCAUGCUGGGCAGCCACGCCGUAAUGGAUAAGAGCUGAAAGCAUCUAAGCUCGAAACCACCUUGAAAAAGAGGCACCUUAAAACACUCGUAAAUGACGAGAUUGAUAGAACCGGGAUGUAAGUAUCGAGGUUCGCCGAGAUAUUCAGUCCGCGGUUACUAACGUUUAUGGCCGCACAGUA
rnacentral:rRNA from 1 species